rnacentral:lncRNA from 1 species
UGUUUCUCCUUUACUAGCAAAAUAAACCUUCUUUUUCCUUUUUUUCAGAAUCUUGUCCUCAUUAUUGGAUUGGCAUCAGGGACAAGGACUGAGCUUUCAGCAGCACAAGUACACACAAGUUCCUCUUAGGACAACCCAGCAAGAGGAUUUGCUUCUGUUCACACAAUGGCUCAAGACAGAAAUCUGUAGAACUGCAGAUAGUGUCAGAAGUGAACUCGUGGGGAAAAAAGGAACCACAAAACCUUUUAAAGAAUGUUACCAGCGUACACUGAUCCCAGGGGCUUAGAUCUCUGCAGCGGGGGACUCUGGAAUAGGCAGACAUUCGCUUUCUACAUCUGCUCUGCCCAGACCUGAGCAU